UGGGGAAUUUUGCACAAUGGGGGAAACCCUGAUGCAGCGACGCCGCGUGAUUUAGAAGGCCUUCGGGUUGUAAAAAUCUUUUUUACGGGAUGAAAAUGACAGUACCGUAAGAAUAAGGUCCGGCUAAAUACGUGCCAGCAGCCGCGGUAAUACGUAUGGACCGAGCGUUGUCCGGAAUCAUUGGGCGUAAAGGGUACGUAGGCGGCCUAGUAAGUUAGAAGUGAAAUAAUAUAGCUCAACUAUAUAAAGCUUUUAAAACUGCUAGGCUUGAGAGAUGGAAGGGAAAGUGGAAUUCCUAGUGUAGCGGUGAAAUGCCCAGAUAUUAGGAAGAAUACCGGUGGCGAAGGCGACUUUCUGGUCAUCAUCUGACGCUGAGGUACGAAAGCGUGGGUAGCAAACAGG
rnacentral:rRNA from 1 species